rnacentral:sRNA from 1 species
UUAGGGAUAUGAGAGUCAAGACUUUCUGUAGCCAUAUAUCUCCACCUGUUGGUCAUAUGUAUCUGUGUUUUCAAGUAGCCUGUUUAAGGUGUAAGCCUUCAUUAGAGGCUCAGGUGCACUCAAGUCACGAGAUGAGUGUUCUCCCCUUUGGGAUGAGGCUUUUCAUAGGUUCUCAUAUGGAGAAUGUCUCUUAGCUACUCCAUUAGCCAUGCACACAAAGUAGCUCUUUGAUUAAUGAUUUGUUUCUGGGAUAUCUUGAUAUCAAGAAGCUGGUCUGGAAAGCAGAUGUAAACAUUCUGGUCCCAAGAAAAGGAUAUCCUUAUUUGAAUUUAAAUAGACCUUCUGAUUUAUAAUUUUUAGAAAACUUAUUAACAACUGAUUGACAUUACUUUGUGUUGUGUGUUUGCCCUCAGAGUUUCAAGAAGUUUUUAACCGAAGUGUCAUGAUUGUUGCAGCAACAAAUAGACCUGAUGUGUUAGAUGCUGCUUUGUUACGACCUGGAAGAUUAGAUAAGAUCAUCUAUAUCCCACCUCCAGAUCACAAGGGCAGGCUUUCUAUUUUAAAAGUCUGUACAAAAACCA